rnacentral:sRNA from 1 species
UUUCCGGGCUGUAAGCAGCUGACACCUGCCCGGUGGAAGCUGGCAUUCCUCCCCUUGUAGGUUCAGAGCUGCAAGAAGCACCAGGCUCAGCCACUUCAGAAGCCCCAGCCUCGACCUAGCCCACCCUCUCAAGGCCACAGUGCAGAAGCCUGCACACCUGCCAAGUCUCUCCGGCUCCUUGCAGCUGCUGUCAGCAUGGCCCAGGCUCCUGCUGACCCGGGCAGAGAAGGCCACCUUGAACAGAGAAUCCUGCAGGUGCUGACAGAGGCUGGCUCCCCGGUGAAACUUGCCCAGCUGGUGAAGGAAUGCCAAGCACCCAAGAGGGAGCUCAACCAAGUCCUCUACCGAAUGAAAAAGGAGUUCAAAGUCUCCCUCACAGCCCCCGCCACCUGGCGCUUGGGCGGGACUGAUCCUGAAGGCGAGGGUCCUGCAGAGCUGGCCUUGUCCAGCCCUGCCGAGAGGCCCCAGCAACAUGCAGCUACAAUUCCAGAGACCCCUGGCCCUCAGUUCAGCCAACAACGGGAUGAGGAAACCAGGCCUUGAGGGGCUGGGUCCAGGGCCACACAGCUAGGA